UACGUAGGUGGCAAGCGUUGUCCGGAAUUAUUGGGCGUAAAGCGCGCGCAGGCGGUCCUUUAAGUCUGAUGUGAAAGCCCUCGGCUCAACCGAGGAGGGUCAUUGGGAACUGGAGGACUUGAGUGCAGAAGAGGAAAGUGGCAUUCCACGUGUAGCGGUGAAAUGCGUAGAGAUGUGGAGGAACACCAGUGGCGAAGGCGACUUUCUGGUCUGUAACUGACGCUGAGGCGCGAAAGCGUGGGGAGCAAACAGG
rnacentral:rRNA from 1 species